CUAGAUAUUUCAGAGCCACAGUCCCAGGCAGCUGCUAUGAAGGACCUCCGAGGAGGUGGCUGGGGUGGAGGUAUGCAGAGAAAAAAAUGACCCCAUCUAAAAUAUGCGAUUCCAAAGGAAAGAAGCAGAGCAAAGGCUCAGGGGGCAGACUGUCUUUUUUGGGGGUCUCACUUUAGUUCUUCAGUGAAAUGAGAUAAGAACAUCUGUUUCCUGCUAAACAGGAGCCACAUUCUUUCAGAAAGAUUCCACAGAGAAAAUAUAGGGAGCUGACAUGAACCAGAGCUGAGUUCCUGCACUUAGUUAUGUGUGAUUCAGAAACAGUUCUGGAGCAAAAAGCAUGAAUUAAACACAGACCCUGCCCUCAAGGAACUUCAAGUCUAAUAGCAGAAGUGAAUCAGUGCAUAUCACUUAUACUCAUGGAAGACCAAGGGAAAAAAAGAAGAAGAAAAAGAAGUAAGUGCCACAUGAAAGUAAUAUGAGUAUUUAUUGUGGGAUCUCUUGGGAAGGGAACCUGACUUAAAGACUGUUUGCUCUGGGAAGGCAUCAAG